rnacentral:other from 1 species
UGAUUCCUGCGAUGUUCGUCAGGACGGUCACUUGUUUUGAACCGAUAAGUGUUUUCGGGGAGACAGAACUCGCUGCGGAUGUCAUGCCCACCUCCUUCGGGACGCAUGGGACGGCAGCAAGCAGUGACGAGUCACCCACCUGCGAGAGCGGGUUCAGAAAACAAUCCGAUUCCGACGGCAUAGGCGGGGUACAU